rnacentral:tRNA from 2 species
CAACUAAUAGUUUAUAGAAAAUAUAAGUUUUGGAGACUUAAGAAAAUUAAAAUUUUUAGUUGA